rnacentral:rRNA from 1 species
UACGUAGGGGCCUAGCGUUGUCCGGAUUUAUUGGGCGUAAAGAGCUCGUAGGCGGUUUGUCGCGUCUGCUGUGAAAACUCGAGGCUCAACCUCGGGCUUGCAGUGGGUACGGGCAGACUAGAGUGCGGUAGGGGAGACUGGAAUUCCUGGUGUAGCGGUGGAAUGCGCAGAUAUCGGGAGGAACACCGGUGGCGAAGGCGGUUCUCUGGGCCUUACCUGACGCUGAGGAGCGAAAGCGUGGGGAGCGAACAGG